rnacentral:lncRNA from 1 species
GUGUGGCGAAUAGUAGAAGGUAGUAAUGACUAAAAUUUGGGCAGCAAACAAAAACUAAAUUUCAAAACUAGCUCUCUUUUUUUUUCACAAUUUUUUUUUCAAAUUUUUUUUCAAAUUUUUUUUCACAACUUGAUAUCCAAUCUUUUAAGUUUGAAUGAAAACUAGUUUUUUUCGAUUUUUUUUGAAUUUCUUUUCGAGUUUUUUUUCGAGAAACUACUAUACCGCAAUGCC